CCUCACCUACGGGACGCAGCAGUGGGGAAUAUUGCGCAAUGGGCGAAAGCCUGACGCAGCGACGCCGCGUGAGGGAUGAAGGUCUUCGGAUCGUAAACCUCUGUCAGCAGGGAAGAACGGUCACUGUGCUAAUCAGCAGUGAAUUGACGGCACCUGCAAAGGAAGCACCGGCUAACUCCGUGCCAGCAGCCGCGGUAAUACGGAUGGUGCGAGCGUUAAUCGGAAUUACUGGG
rnacentral:rRNA from 1 species